rnacentral:rRNA from 1 species
UUCGCCUUGUGCCAGCAGCCGCGGUAAUUCCAGCUCCAAUAGCGUAUAUUAAAGUUGUUGUGGUUAAAAAGCUCGAAGAUGAACCUUGGGCCUGGCUGGCGGGCCCGUCUCACCUCGUGCACUGGGCCGGCCGCUUCCUUCCCUCUGUGGAAUCCCCUACCCUUCACUGGGUCAAAGGGGAAACUGGUUUUUUACUUUGAAAAGAUCAGAGUGCUCCAGGCCGGCCUAUGCUCGAAUUCUUUAGCAUGAAAAAAUAAAAUAGGACGCGCGGAUCUAUUUUGUUGGCUGACCGGACCGACGUAAUGAUAAAUAGGGACAGUCGGGGGCAUCAGUAUCCAACUGUCAGAGGUGAUAUUCUUGGAUCAGUUGAAGACUAACUACUGCGAAAGCUUUUGCCGAGGAUGUUUUCAUUAAUCAGGAACGAAAGUUAGGGGAUCGAAGACGAUCAGAUACCGUCGUAGUCUUAACCAUAAAACUAUGCCGACGAGGGAUCGGACGGUGUUAUUCAUGACGCGGUCGGCACAUAUACAAGAAAUCAAAGUGCUCGCGCUGCAGGGGGAGUAUGCUCGCAAGGAUGAAUACUAUAAAGAAAUUGACGGAACGGCACCAGCAGGGGUGGAGCCUGCGUUUUAUAUGACUCAGCACGAGGAAUCUCACCAGGUCCAGACACAAUAGGGAUUGACAGACUGCGAUCUCUUUCUUGAAUUUGGGGGGGGGCGCCGCCAUCGCCCGUUCUGAGGUUGGGGGGGUGGACUUUGUCUGCUUUAAUUAGCGAUAACGAACGAGAUCUGAAACCUGCUAAACUAGUCCGGCACUGGCUCCGGCAGGUGCGCUGGGUUUCUUAGAGGGCACUUUCC